rnacentral:rRNA from 1 species
GAGUUUGAUCCUGGCUCAGGAUGAACGCUGGCGGCGUGCUUAACACAUGCAAGUCGAACGGAGUGCCUUUGAAAGAGGAUUCGUCCAAUUGAUAAGGUUACUUAGUGGCGGACGGGUGAGUAACGCGUGAGGAACCUGCCUUGGAGUGGGGAAUAACACAGUGAAAAUUGUGCUAAUACCGCAUGAUAUAUCGGUACCGCAUGGUAGUGAUAUCAAAGAUUUAUCGCUCUGAGAUGGACUCGCGUCUGAUUAGCUGGUUGGCGGGGUAACGGCCCACCAAGGCGACGAUCAGUAGCCGGACUGAGAGGUUGACCGGCCACAUUGGGACUGAGACACGGCCCAGACUCCUACGGGAGGCAGCAGUGGGGAAUAUUGGGCAAUGGGCGCAAGCCUGACCCAGCAACGCCGCGUGAAGGAAGAAGGCUUUCGGGUUGUAAACUUCUUUUAAGAGGGACGAAAGAAAUGACGGUACCUCUUGAAUAAGCCACGGCUAACUACGUGCCAGCAGCCGCGGUAAUACGUAGGUGGCAAGCGUUAUCCGGAUUUACUGGGUGUAAAGGGCGUGUAGGCGGGACUGCAAGUCAGAUGUGAAAACUAUGAGCUCAACUCAUAGCCUGCAUUUGAAACUGUAGUUCUUGAGUGCUGGAGAGGCAAUCGGAAUUCCGUGUGUAGCGGUGAAAUGCGUAGA